UACAGAGGUCUCAAGCGUUGUUCGGAUUCAUUGGGCGUAAAGGGCGCGUAGGCGGCGGGGUAAGUCUGGUGUGAAAUCUCGGAGCUCAACUCCGAAAUUGCACUGGAUACUGCUCUGCUUGAGGGUUGGAGAGGAGAUCGGAAUUCCUGGUGUAGCGGUGAAAUGCGCAGAUAUCAGGAAGAACACCCGUGGCGAAGGCGGCUCCUCGUGGGACGGGUACUGACGCUGAGACGCGAAAGCGUGGGGAGCAAACAGG
rnacentral:rRNA from 1 species